rnacentral:rRNA from 1 species
AUGCAAUUCCACAUUGCAUCGGAGAUCAUCCUCCGCCCGGACGUCGCCCAAGAGACAAGAGUCUUGACUCCACUAGAAUUCACUUUUAGAAAGAAGCUGAAAACAAGAAUUCUUGGGCUGGCUGCAAUUGAAAGGGCGAGGAAGAGGCAGGCAUCCAGAAUUAUUUGGCUGCGUGCUGGAGAUGCAAACACAAAAAAUUUCAACGCAAAAAUCAACAGGCGCCGAAAAAAUUUCAUUCCAGCUUUGAAAACUAAGGAUGGGUUGGCUACUUCUCACAAUGACUAGGAAGAUUGUAUCUUCACUCAUUUUGAUGGCGUGUUGGGUUCGAAAGAACAGCAUACAAGGAUGAUUAACUGGCAAGAGCUGCAGCUACCAUCAAUCCAUGGAGGUGGGUUGGAUAACCCUUUCACUGAGGACGAGAUUUGGAAUGCAAUAAAAGCCAUGCCCUAG